AACUUGGUAAACAAUAUUUAAACAACUGAUACCUGAUAGUUCUGUCCCGUUCGAGCGAAACGUUUCCGACUGUAGCUUUGUCCGUGACGGUAACAGCAGCGGUACUGUGUGGGUUAGUGAGGGGCUGCGCUGUCCGAGAUACAUAAGGUAGGAGCGCUCAUAGUUUUUAUAAAGUUAAGGUUUAUGGCGGCAUUUCUAUAACGUGGGCUUUGUUCUUUUAUAGAUUGUCCGCCACUGCUGUUUUGUUUCUUUGGUUUUAAUUUGUUAAAGUAGUUGGUAUUUGAUGCUGUUGUUUACAUUGUUGUUCCAAUUUCUAAUCUCCCAAAAGUAUUAGUGUUUUUAUUAUCUGUAUAAAUCUGUAUCCAAUGAGCUGAUAUACUGUUGUGUUUUGUGUCUUUUACGAGGGAUCCAGCCCCCUGACGUGAGCGGCAGCCUUGGGAGAUGGGAUUCAGAGGUGUUAGGCCUGUAGGAAGUAAUAAUCAAUAUUCCGAGUAACUGCAACACUGUCUUAUUUUGAAACACUGUCUUAUUCUGAAGUGCACUCUUAUUUUGAAAUGGUCAACUCGUAACCGGAUGCAAACGACAUUGAAUGCAACAUUGCUGGCGCUUGAGGCCGGACGGAGGAAAACUGUGGGUUUGAGCGUAGGUUUCCUCAACAAGCGAAAUGUAAAUACAGGGUGAACAGGGGAAUCUCUUGUGGUGUUAUACAUAAAACACACAAUGAGUAAUUCUCCUUAUUGCCACUGUAAUACCCUAAGAAGCGACUUGGCUUUAUGCCACGUAUACACUGAACUGGCCGGAAGUACUGUUACGACGUGAAGCAACCAAUAGGAAGAGGCAACCGCUGGACAAAGACCCAUCACAGAUGGGGUGGGGGUCUCUUUUGGCUCGGACCCACGGACAGUGAACACAUCGUGAAUUCUAUUCAUGUUUUGGGCCUGUUCUAGUGUGUGUAGAGCUUUAGGGCCACAGCUGUGAAACGAUUGUAAAACCUUCCACUACAUCUUUUUUAUUAAACACUCCUUUAUAAUUUU